rnacentral:piRNA from 1 species
CGGCAAGAGAGGCAAAUGAGUGUGAUGGA